UACGAAGGGGGCUAGCGUUGCUCGGAAUCACUGGGCGUAAAGCGCACGUAGGCGGAUUGUUAAGUCAGGGGUGAAAUCCUGGAGCUCAACUCCAGAACUGCCUUUGAUACUGGCGAUCUUGAGUCCGGGAGAGGUGAGUGGAACUGCGAGUGUAGAGGUGAAAAUUCGUAGAUAUUCGCAAGAACACCAGUGGCGAAGGCGGCUCACUGGCCCGGUACUGACGCUGAGGUGCGAAAAGCGUGGGGGAGCAAACAGG
rnacentral:rRNA from 1 species